GAUUUCUGCCCAGUGCUCUGAAUGCCAAAGAAAUUCAAUGAAGCACGGGUAAAUGGGGGGAGUAACUAGGACUCUCUUAAGGUAGCCAAAUGCCUCAUCAUCUAAUUAGUGAUGUGCAUGAAUGGAU
rnacentral:rRNA from 1 species